rnacentral:lncRNA from 1 species
CAGACUUGAACACCAAAAUAAAUUAUAUAUAUAACAAAGGUUUGGAACAUGAACGACCUUGCAACUAUCAGAAUAACUGAGGUCGUCUGAUGAACGACCUCAGUUAUUCUGAUGAACGAAAUUGCAAGCCCCGGCAAAGGAGAGAGAAGUUGCAAACCAGGAUCAAAGUUUUUUGAAUAUCUCAUUUGCUCUGAAAAAUCGAAAAGUAAUAAAAGAGGUAAUGAGGGAUACGAGAAAAAACCCACAUACAGUAGAAACCCAACCAUCUUUAACAGACUAAGAAAUGACAAGGACAAAAGAAAAGAUGAAGAAAAGAGAGUUUAUGAGAUCCCAGUAAUAUA